CUAUUACAAUCAUUCACUUUUACCAUAUCUACAUUUCUUCCCCAUCCACGUAGUAGUGAUUUGAUGAAAAGUUGAAAACAUACUGUCCCCCAUGGGAAGACAUUGAAAAAAUCCAAGUCGUCAACGAUGGAAAGAGUUGUCGAAUUUAUUCCUACAUUUCGAUCUCUUGAAUUAAAUACCCCUUCAAUAAUUAGUGCCAACUCAAACUUGUAACGAUCGUUACAGUUAGCACAUUUCAAAAAAACUUUCUCUAGGUCGCUACACGUUAUCCGGUCCAUAUUAGCAAACAUUUUAUCUUGUAGACGAGUUUUCUCUAGGAUUUUGUCAACUUCGGCACCUUUAGGCACUGGACUGCACUACAAGCCAGUAAUUAGUGCGAACUCCGGCAGUCCAAAUCGUGCAAACCUUUGGUUCACCUUGAACCAAGCCUCAAACCACUUUCGACAUACCACCGAUCUGUUUACCAUUUCAUGAAUUAAUUAAGCAGAUAGUUUCAGCUCCGGUAACCUUGCAACAUAUCCUAUACAACUGUCCUCCAACUGACGCUUUUGCUGUGGAUCCAAUUUGUUGAGGACAACUGAUAUAUAUUUUGUGUUGCUCACUUGCGACACAUGGGCCGGAUCACGUUCUUCCUCCGAAAUUUUAUAUCGAUGUGUCAUACUCAUCUACAAAUCAAAACAAA
rnacentral:lncRNA from 1 species